UGUUAAUAAUUUAUAUAAAAUAUUUUGAUGAAUAUUUAUAUAAUAUUAACAUAAUUCAUAUUACUAUUUUUUUUUUUAGUAUAUGAAAUUUUACUUUGAGAAAAUUAGAGUGCUUAAAGCAGGCAUACGCCUUGAAUACUCCAGCAUGGAAUAAUAUUAAAGAUUUUUAUCUUUUUUAUUGGUUCUAAGAUAAGAAUAAUGAUUAAUAGGGACAGUUGGGGGCAUUUGUAUUUAACAGUCAGAGGUGAAAUUCUUAGAUUUGUUAAAGACAAACUAAUGCGAAAGCAUUUGCCAAGGAUGUUUUCAUUAAUCAAGAACGAAAGUUAGGGGAUCGAAGACGAUCAGAUACCGUCGUAGUCUUAACCAUAAACUAUGCCAACUAGAGAUUGGAGGUUGUU
rnacentral:rRNA from 1 species